AGAAAAUUCAGAAGGAUAUUGUCUCUAUACCAGAAACUGGGAUCCAGGCUCAUCAAUAUUGGAAAACCAGGUCGGCAGUUCAUGUGUUAACACGUCAGAAGAGGGAGGCAAUGAAGACAAGGUGUACGAGGUGUAGCGGAGCUGAGUUGCACAUGAUAUUCCAGUUAUCCCAGGCUGUAGAGGACCCCACAUAUAGCAACUUGCAGGCUGGGACACAUCAAAAGAAGAACCAACAAGAAGGGGAAUAUCCUGUGGUUAAGACGCUGAUGUUAGUUUGGAGACCUAUUUUGGCAAAUGCUUCUCAUCAGCUCUGUGCCAUGCCUUCCUGUUCACAAAAGAGAGAUUAAAAUGCUUUUUUCCCUUGUCUUUUAUCUAUCUAGAUUGUAAGCUUUGUAAGGGUACAUACAUGCAGCACCUGUUAGUGCUUCUUGGUAUAGCUGUAACAUUUAUUCAAAAAAAAAAUGCCUUAUGCCUCUUUGAUUCAUAAAAUGCUGAAUGUGUCACUUAUCUGAGCUAGAGAGGAACAUAUAUUUGUGGAUGACCUUUAACUGGAAAGAGUAAAAGAUCACCGUAGCAUUCCUUUCAAAUGAGGAGUAUGAAUCCAGUAAUGCAAAUUUGCAGGCUCCUGGCAUGCAAAUUAACAAAAGAGGUGGCAGUACAUCUGUCUUUUCAAAGCUCAAACCAUCACCCAUAUGCACAGGAAAAUAAAAAGGUUACACUUCUGUAGUUCUCUACA
rnacentral:lncRNA from 1 species